GCUUUAACACAGCCAAAGAAGGUUCCAAGCCCUUUAGUGAAAUUGUGGAGGAAAGC
rnacentral:ribozyme from 2 species